rnacentral:snRNA from 1 species
AUCCCUUCAGGGACAUUCUAUAAAAUUGGAAUGAUGCAAAGAAAUUAGCAUGGUCCGAGCAAGGAUGGCACACACAAAGCGAGAUAUGUUCCAAAAAAAU